AUUGGCCUGUUGGCACUAGGGUUGCAAAGGGGUGGACAUUUUCCGGUCAAUUUCCGGAAACUUUACAUGGAAAGUUUAGUUGGGGAAUUUUUGGAAACAUUCCAAU